GAAGACGUCCUGCAAGAAUUUGGCAUCAGAAGUCAUGUGGAGAAGACGGUAAAACCUUUGUGCUAUCUGAUAACAUUGCAGAGCCAAAGGAGAAAACGAAAAUGAACACAAAAGAGGUCACAACCCUUUUAUAGUUAGUGGUGGAGGCAGUGAUUACACUGGAGACAUUGCCACUGCUGUGGAUGCAGAUUUCAUUCUGAUUACAUCUCAGAAAGAAGUUGACAAGGCUCACACUAAACUUAACAAAACUAUCGAAAAAGCAUAUCGUAUGGGUGGCCAAUGGUUUCCAAAAGAUUUAUCAUUGAUGCUGA